rnacentral:rRNA from 1 species
AGCGAACGCUGGGGGCAGGCCUAACACAUGCAAGUCGAACGAACUCUUCGGAGUUAGUGGCGGACGGGUGAGUAACACGUGGGAACGUGCCUUUAGGUUCGGAAUAACUCAGGGAAACUUGUGCUAAUACCGAAUGUGCCCUUCGGGGGAAAGAUUUAUCGCCUUUAGAGCGGCCCGCGUCUGAUUAGCUAGUUGGUGAGGUAAAGGCUCACCAAGGCGACGAUCAGUAGCUGGUCUGAGAGGAUGAUCAGCCACAUUGGGACUGAGACACGGCCCAAACUCCUACGGGAGGCAGCAGUGGGGAAUCUUGCGCAAUGGGCGAAAGCCUGACGCAGCCAUGCCGCGUGAAUGAUGAAGGUCUUAGGAUUGUAAAAUUCUUUCACCGGGGACGAUAAUGACGGUACCCGGAGAAGAAGCCCCGGCUAACUUCGUGCCAGCAGCCGCGGUAAU